AUACGAAGGGGGCUAGCGUUGUUCGGAGUUACUGGGCGUAAAGCGCACGUAGGCGGAUUGAUUAGUUAGGGGUGAAAUCCCGAGGCUCAACCUCGGAACUGCCUCUAAAACUGUCAAUCUCGAGACCGGAAGAGGUGAGUGGAACUCCUAGUGUAGAGGUGGAAUUCGUAGAUAUUAGGAAGAACACCAGUGGCGAAGGCGGCUCACUGGUCCGGUACUGACGCUGAGGUGCGAAAGCGUGGGGAGCGAACAGGAUUAGAAACCCUAGUAGUCC
rnacentral:rRNA from 1 species